AGAUUAAGUUAUUAAGGGCGCACGGUGGAUGCCUUGGCACUAGAAGCCGAUGAAGGACGUUACUAACGACGAUAUGCUUUGGGGAGCUGUAAGUAAGCUUUGAUCCAGAGAUUUCCGAAUGGGGAAACCCAGCAUGAGUUAUGUCAUGUUAUCGAUAUGUGAAUACAUAGCAUAUCAGAAGGCACACCCGGAGAACUGAAACAUCUUAGUACCCGGAGGAAGAA
rnacentral:rRNA from 1 species